rnacentral:rRNA from 1 species
AUUGAACGCUGGCGGCAUGCUUUAUACAUGCAAGUCGAACGGUAACAGGGUGCUUGCACCGCUGACGAGUGGCGAACGGGUGAGUAAUGCGUCGGAACGUGCCGAGUAGUGGGGGAUAACGCAGCGAAAGUUGUGCUAAUACCGCAUACGUACUGAGGUAGAAAGUGGGGGACCUUCGGGCCUCACGCUAUUCGAGCGGCCGACGUCUGAUUAGCUAGUAGGUGAGGUAAAGGCUCACCUAGGCGACGAUCAGUAGCGGGUCUGAGAGGAUGAACCGCCACACUGGGACUGAGACACGGCCCAGACUCCUACGGGAGGCAGCAGUGGGGAAUUUUGGACAAUGGGCGAGAGCCUGAUCCAGCCAUGCCGCGUGUCUGAAGAAGGCCUUCGGGUUGUAAAGGACUUCUGUCAGGGAGGAAAUCCCUAGUGCUAAUAACACUGGGGGAUGACAGUACCUGAAGAAUAAGCACCGGCUAACUACGUGCCAGCCGCCGCCGUAA